rnacentral:misc_RNA from 1 species
GUAUUCCAUAGAUUUUCAUAAACUGCAACAAAUGGUACAUUAUUUAAUUUCCUUGUACAAUAAUGUAAUCAAAAGUCUCCUUGGUAUAGAUUAAUUCUCGAGUACAAGUCUUUCACUCAUUCUUUCUCCACAUGCAUAUAUAUACCUUUAUUCGUGGCUUGUGUUGAGCUUCUUUCUGGGAAUUAAAUCAUUAUUUAUUUCAAGUUGGUUGUAUUAAAAGGGCAAGUGCUUUUUAGAUAAUGCAAGUUACCCCUUCUAGUUGGCAGGUCAGUUUCCUCUCUAUUAGGUUUCUUCACAAGUGUUGUGUUAUGUAAUGUUAUUUUUUAU